UACAGAGGUGGCUAGCGUUGUUCGGAUUUACUGGGCGUAAAGGGUGCGUAGGCGGUCUUGUGUGUCGGAUGUGAAAUCCCACUGCUUAACGGUGGAACUGCAUUCGAAACUACAAGGCUAGAGUAUGGUAGAGGAGAGUGGAAUUCUCGGUGUAGCGGUGAAAUGCGUAGAUAUCGAGAGGAACACAGGUGGCGGAAGCGACUCUCUAGAACAAUACUGACGCUGAGGCACGAAAGCUAGGGGAGCAAACAGG
rnacentral:rRNA from 1 species